GCUUAAGUCGGCCCACGACACCGUCGUCGUCGAGAAAUGCCACCUUGAGAAUGAGCUUAUGAAACUAAAGGAGAAACUUGCAGAGGCCGAAGUGUCCAUGAGGAAGCUCUCCCAAGCAGUGAAUGGAGCUUCUGGCUACAACGGUGGCGGCGGCGAGGGUGAGGGCAGCCCUACCUCGUCCUUCUCAACAGUUACUUACCAUCCUCUAGUUGGAGAAUUUGGGGUGGAUGGAGAAGCUGACCUCAUGUACAUACCAGAGUAUAAUUUUAGUAACUACAUGAUGGAGUGGGGUAAUCUCUUUGGAAUGUAAGAAACCAUUAUCAGUACUGUCAUAAUUUCGUGAUUAA